CCUAGGACCCUGAGAUCAUGACCUGAGCCUAAAUCAAGAGUCAGAUGCUUAACUGACUGAGCCACCUAGGUACCCCUCCCUAUUACUUCUUAAAAGAUUGAAUGAAUUAAUGACGAUAAGGUGGAUUGGUACCACAGGAAGUAGUUUUCAUUAGAUGUGUGUUUCAUAGACUUAACUAGAAGUGGCUUUGAGAAAUCAUGUAAGAAGCUGACAAAUAAGCCUGGAUGUUUGGUGGUUGGACAUCUCCCUGCACAGUACUUAGCAGAGGUAAAGAGCUGCUUAUCGCUGUUUUCAUCAGUUCACCUCCCUUCCUCAGCCUUCGUCAGAGGUUUGCUAGCUUGCUGGUAUAAACUUCCUCUGAGUUGAUAAUACAAACUCAGGAACAUUAGAACAUGAGUCAUGAUUAUUGUUUGAUUAUUGUUUGAUUAUUGUUUGAUUAUUAUUUUGUUAUUUUUAGACUUAAAAUAGUAACAAAAUUUUACUAAUUUAUGGUAGCAUAUUUAAUGUUUUUCCUCAGUUCUGGAAUAAGUAAGUAACUAGUUGCUGUUUAAGAGAACAAAAAUCAUAUCUUGCUUCCACUUAGGUGAGAAGAGCCAGUAUAGAAAAAGCAAGAUUUUAGGAGAUUGGGUAUCUACUUAGAGAAUUCAUCAUAAAAAGGUGUCCAGACCAAAUAUUGGAAAAUCUUAUAUUUUAUGAUUUAAUAUCCCCUGUUGUGUUUACCUACAAUAUUUCAUUUCAGACUCCUAGUAGGGGAAUACAAACUUACAGUAUAAGAACCUUUCCCCUAGAAAAUCCACCAUGGGGGAAGUAUCCACUGCACAAGCCAGUGGUUUUGUCUGAAGCAUUAGACAUGUUAUCGUGGCACAGGUGGGUAGUGUAGAUAUUCUCACGCACAGGGCCCACAGACGGACAUUUCCCUGCAAGCUACGUCUCGUUUUUUUUCUUUUCCUGUAUCUACUUCCUUCGAGCACUUGGUGACCCCUGCAGGCAAUGCUUCGCCUCUCUGCUCAUGCUGAGGCCUUGCUAGAGUGGCCUCUUGAAGGGCUGAUUUGGGAGCCCGUGACCCGAAGUCCAGCCGUGGAAGCCCUUCUUCAGCCUGUCUGGUGCUGGUGGUCGUGCUGCCCUCCUCGGGGCUCUGAUACAGACGGGAGCAUUUUAAGCCUGUGUGUUGGAGCUGUCAUCAGCCCCGAGACUUAGUGGGGAAGUGAUUUGUGACUCCAGUCAAGAACAUGGUGGUAUGUAGCCGAUCAAGAUGGCCAUGAAGAGACUGAGAAAGGAGCCUCCAAACCAUUGUGCUCUAGUUUUAAAAUGAAGUGUGGUGUUUCUUCAACAGUAUCUCCUACUCACCUACGUCACUCUCCUGAGCUCAGGUAAUAAUCCAGUUGCCAGCUGAACAUCUCUUAACUCUCCUCAGUGAGGAGGGCCAAGGAAUCACAGGGGACUUGGCUACCCCCUACUCAUCCUCCAGGACUCGGAUUAGAUGUCCCUCCCUCCGGAAGCCUUCCUAACGGGGUGCCCCUGUCCUGUGACCCGUACAGUCUCCAUCAGAAGCCUUAGCAUAUUCUGCUGUGAUUCCUUCCCUGUGUCUGUCUCGCCCCUGGACUACAAGCUUUGUGGGGGCAGAACUGCACCUCUGUGAUGUUCACGGCUGGAUCUCCAGCUCCCAGUUCUGGGCACGGGGCCUGGGCAGUGCUCUGUCGAUGUGUGUCAAAAGACUGCAGGAAUUACUGUGCCAUCCAAGCCUGCACACAGGAGAUGAUCUAACAUGUGGCUCACAGCUGACUCUUGUAGGGGCUCAGAUAAACGAGGAGAAGACAAAUACCACCUGGGCAUGUUUACGCCAUUCUGUGUGGAUAGGCGAUGGAGCCAGACGGAUUUUCCUCCGCCCUCUUUAUUUAUGGAAGGCCUCACACACUUUCCAACAGGAGGAGAGAGGGUGGGAAGGGCACCGGCAUGCUGUGUUCAGGGGGAGGAAACGGUAUGUAUGGGCAAGGGGGCUCUGGUAAACCGCUGAGGAUGGGCAUGGUCACUGGAGCCCGCCGCCUCUCUCUUCCAAAAGCCCUUGGUGGCUGCGGUCCCAUCAAGUGAUAGUAACGGGAAACACAACAUCUACACGGAGCCAGGCACUCUUCUAAGUGCGGAACAUAGCAAUCUUUUGAGGUAGGUGUGCUAUUAUCCCCAUUUUACAUAUAAGGAAAGCGAGUCACAGGGAGAUUAAGGAACCUGCCCAGAUUGAUCCAGGUCUAAGUGGCAGAACCGGGAUUGCAGUCCCAGGCAGUCUGGCUCCAGAGCCUGUUUUAGUAACCACCCUUCUCCAUUGAUUUUCAAAGGCCAUCUGGCUCAGGCUCUCCCUAACUUACUCACUCCUGAACUACCUUCACGAUCUUUGCAAAACCUGUGUCCCACCUCUAAUGUUAUUUCUUGACUUUUUUCUUCUCAUAAUUCACGGGUUUAGUUAAAUACAUGUAUCUUGAAUGAAAUCUUGGUAUUCCUAUGAGAGACGAAAAAUCAGCAUCAUUUGCCAUACAAAAUAGAAAGGAAAUGUCAAAAUAAAUUCAGUGAAAACAAUGUUACUAAAUUUUAGCCAGCUACUGCUGCCCCCAAGUCCGGAGCCCCCAGGGCCGGAGUUGAGGGCUCAAAAGAGCAGAGGAAGGGGAAUCACGCUCACGGGACCUACCCCAGGGAUACGCCAGUGUUCCCUCCAGGGCACUGACCCCGCCUUGCUUGCCCCCUGCACUUGGAGAAAGCGGGUUCAGGACAAUGCUGCUUCUCACCCCCGAAGAGGAGAUGGAGGCUCAGGGAAGGGAAACGCUGUGCUCGAGACCAGCACUCGGGACCCUGGACUCCUGAGCGUGUGGCCCUCUACGCUCAUCUCUAGGCACACUUUCACACACCUCGCAUCUACCAGGUUAAUUCCUGAGUUAAUUCGUGUAGUUUUCAUGUUGACGGUGGCUCUGCCACCAAAGUUUGUCCUCCAGUUCUCGUGUUUCUGAAGUAAUUCCAAACCUUGACUGACUUGGCUGUUCUGGAGGGAGUCCCAGGUCACAUGGGAAUUUGGAAUCAGGACCUCUAGAUCUAGGUGGUCUGCUGCCACUGCGGUGGGAGUCAUUUAACGUCCUUCCAUCUGCCAACCCAUCUAUACGUUGAGGCUAACAGCACUUUCUCUGUGGACCUCGGAGGGUUGUGGUUAGGAUGCAAGUGAGGUCAUGGAUUGGGAAAUGCUCUGGUGGAAAACACGGCCCUGAACGUGCCCACUAGCGGUCACCCCCCAGCCCUCGCUCAUCUGGCAUCUGCAAACGAUGAGAACCGUGAAGAAGGGGACGGGCAUUUGAAUGGACAAAAGAGAUACCACAGUUGACUCGAAUCUGUAGGACAUCUACCGAUCCUGCUGCCCAAUGUGCCAGGUGCUGGCUGGGUAUGAAAGAAUUGGGACAGGUUACCACGUGGCCUGGACGUGAAGAGAAUUCAGUGUAAAAGGCAAGUAACACACAGUGUAUGAAAGGAUUGGGAUCCCUCGUGGUCCAGACCCUCGGCCUUCUUUAGGCCCACGGCCAGCAGGUUGGGUCAUCUGUUUCCCCAAAUGACACAACUUCAGAGCUAACAGAUGACAAGGGAGCAGGGCUAUUUCCGGGGGCAAAACUGCCUUGCUGAAGAAGAGGGGCUGACUUGGAGGAAAGAGGUAAGAAAACGAAGCAUUUGUGCAUCCAAGUCUGAGGUUGCUUAGUGGAGGAGCGCAAACCCUACAAACUUCACAGACCCUGAAAUUUGUUGUUUUGUAGGAUAUAGUAAUGCAUAACCAGUACUCAUAACGACCUCCUGAAUCAAGGGCUUUGCAUUUUCUUGUCCCCUCUGCCUGGAAUGCCCUUCCCCAGACCUCUGCUGGCCUGACUCCUCACCUGCUUCAGGUCUCUGCUCCAAUGUCCCCAACCUCAGUGAGGCCCACUCUGACCACCCUGUUCUCAAUUAUGUCCCAUCCCAGCUUCUGGAACUUUUCCUCUAUUUUUUUUCUGUAGUACUUACCACCUUUGGACAUAAUAUUUGUCAUCUCUCAUCUAUCUAUAUCUAACUACCUAUCUAUCACGUAUCUGCCAUCUGUCUUUCAUUGAUUACGUCUUUUGUGUGACCCCACCUCUGGAAUAUAACUUCCAUGGGUGCGAGGGCGUUCGCUGUUUUCCCAGACAGAGCUUGUGGCCUGAGCAGUAAAUAGACACCCAAUACAUGUCGUUGGUAGACCUCCAACUCUGAGUUAUCAAGGAAAGGUCAAAUUGUAGUUCAUAUAUUUUGAAAAUAGGGCUCUUGUCAUGCGCUUUCACCCUCAUCACCUGCUACAUUAUAAAGGUGUCUGAGGGUGCAUCACUUCCGGCCCGGACCCACUGAUCCUCACAGCCCGCAGCAAGCCUAGGCGGGCACACAGGAACCACGGUCCUCCUCUGCCCAGCCUCCUCUCGCGGACUUCCCCUGAGGACUUCCCAUGGAAGAGCUUCUACAGAGAAACAGGUUUUCUUUAUUUUUAUUUUUUUUGCCAUGUGCCCAAUUUUCUUCCAAAUUUCCAUACUUCUUCCUAUUCUUUAGAAGUCAUUUAGAAGGUAUGUAAGCAGGAUCCCAAUGGUAUGACUGACAUCAAGAGCAAAGACAAUACAUACAGUUCUCCUGACUUCCUGCAAUCUUCAUGGAAAUGAGAAUGGAAUUGAACGUGUGUAGAACUCCCAGCUUUAUUGCAACCCCAAUGAAAUGAAGUCUGUGUCUCUCUUGCAACUCAAAGAUCGAUUGCUCAGGUGGAAGAUAGUUAUAGAUCGUGUUUUAAAGUUUGGUAUUUCAUUUUCGCUUAAUGCCCACAGAAUUAGGACAUUAGUUUCUCAUAAAUCAAUGCCGUCCAAUCAAGUAUGCUCUUAGUCAUAAAUACACUGGAGGUGAGCUACAAUCACAUGGGCUAACCACUAUCCACUGAAGUCUUUUGGUUUUUUUUUUUCCCACUUAAAGCAGAUGAUUUACUUAUGGAAAUGUCACUGAGACUGGAACACCUUUUCCAUUUCUUUUGACGGUACUUUGAGCCAUCACCCCUCCCUCUGCUCCCAGUUCAGAAAUGGGUGCUCAGGGUAUAUAAUUUGCUUUGUCCUGUUUUGUUUUGGGAGAUCAGUUCUUUAAAUCAUUUGGCCAGACUGAAUAAAAUAACACCAAGAUUUUUUUUUUUUCUUUUUGAAUCCACAAGGUGCGAGGAGAACUGACAUUUAUCGAACCCUGGCUUCGCACCCCACACUUGGGUUCUGUGCUAGGGCACCCAAUCUUCCCUGCCAUGCUGGGCAGGAAGAAUCGUGAUUCUUGUUUCGCAGAUGCACCAACUGGGUCUCCUGGAGGCUGAGAACCUCAUCAGCAAGUGCUGGAGGACUGCUGUGCCCUUCCAGCCCUCUUUGCCCUGAUGGCAAAUCAAGAAAUUCGCCUGUAAGGCGCCUGAUCAGAAUAUCCUUCUAGAAGCUUGGCUCUACCAGUUGUGGGAGACUGGCACUGUGGACAGUCACCAGUCCCUUCCUCAAGAGCAUUCUGAAGGUGGACAUCAAGAAGGAAAAUGCUUUACCCCAGGUCUCACUACAUUUACUUAGCGGUGGGGCCUGGAUUCAAAUCAAGAUCCCGUUCUUCCCAAUCCCACGCUCUUUCCACUUAAUAUUGUAUUUCUGUUAAUAUCAUUUAAACCAGCUCAAGUUGGGUAGGUCGAAGAAUAAUGGGCUGAUGGCUGAAGAUGAACUCUCUGUCCUCUGCAUCUAGUACCAACCUCUGAAAAGGGAGAUGUUUGCAGAACUUCACCUGCUGCUGAAUACCCAGUGGUAAUUUUUUCUUGCCCCACGCCAUCUGGUGAACGUUGGCUGCGUCCCCACUUGUCCCCAGGGCUCCAGGACUGUUGGGCAUUAUGGAUUUCUUCAAGUACAUAGUUAGGCCCAAAUCUCUAGUCUUCAGGUUUUUAGUGUUUAUGUUUGGACAGCAUGUGAGAGGAAGCUGAUGGGAUAUUUACCCAAAGACAAGACACUUUUCAGACUAAGAUGCUGCUGCUAGAAGCUCUACCAAGCCUGGACCUCCGCGGACACUGGCGACAGGACCAGAGCAUUUCAGUCGUCCAACGGCCACUCCCUGCGAUGUCCCGUUUGGGGAGAGGACAGUCAAAUGCGGAACUGUGGGAUGGGGCCUGGCAGUCCCGGGGACCAUGCCUGGGGGUGUUUUUGCCCCAGUCGGGCUCUCAGCUGCUUGUUGGUGCCAGCAGGAUGGAGUUUGCAAGACUGAGAAGUGAUCCGAGUUUCUGUUUGAGACCUCCGUCUGUGGGCUUUCUCAGAGCUCACUGGGGUCCCCAUAACUGGCUGCCUGGCCAUACUCCCGUUCUUUGUGGCCUGGCGCUCAUGGGCUGUGCAAAUACCGCAUAGGAUGGUUGAAAGAAAGAGCUCUGGACUACGACAAACCCAGGUUUGAUUCCUAGCCACUUCACUGCUGUGUGACCUUGGACACUUUACUUAACCUUUCUGCACCUUAGCUUUCUCAUCUGUAAAAUGAAGCUAAUAUUGCUGAUCUGAUAAGGAUUAUGAGAGAUCAUGUAUAUGAAGUACUCAGUGCCUGGCAUACAAUAAGUGCUCAAUAAAUGGCAGAUUAUUAUUUUUA